rnacentral:tRNA from 1 species
GGCGCCUCGGGCGGGCUCGGUUCGCGGUGCUGCUGGCGCUGCUGCCGGCGACCGCGACGGUCGUCGGGUUGAUCGGUCUCGGCCAGGUGCCC